AUCCAGCUGAUAAGUCCCAAAUGGGACGAAACGUGUGUCGUGAAU
rfam:Schistosoma mattheei strain Denwood, Zambia genome assembly, scaffold: SMTD_scaffold0006890